CGGGGCGUAGCGCAGCCUGGUAGCGCACCUGCCUUGGGCGCAGGGGGUCGGGCGUUCAAAUCGCCCCGCCCCGA
rnacentral:tRNA from 1 species